rnacentral:rRNA from 1 species
GGGUUGUGAGGUUAAGCGACUAAGCGUACACGGUGGAUGCCCUGGCAGUCAGAGGCGAUGAAGGGCGUGCUAAUCUGCGAUAAGCGCCGGUAAGGUGAUAUGAACCGUUAUAACCGGCGAUACCCGAAUGGGGAAACCCAGUGUGAUUCGUCACACUAUCAUUAACUGAAUCCAUAGGUUAAUGAGGCGAACCGGGGGAACUGAAACAUCUAAGUACCCCGAGGAAAAGAAAUCAACCGAGAUUCCCCCAGUAGCGGCGAGCGAACGGGGAGGAGCCCAGAGCCUGAAUCAGCAUGUGUGUUAGUGGAAGCGUCUGGAAAGGUGCGCGAUACAGGGUGACAGCCCCGUACACAAAAGCGCAUGUGCUGUGAGCUCGAUGAGUAGGGCGGGACACGUGGUAUCCUGUCUGAAUAUGGGGGGACCAUCCUCCAAGGCUAAAUACUCCUGACUGACCGAUAGUGAACCAGUACCGUGAGGGAAAGGCGAAAAGAACCCCGGCGAGGGGAGUGAAAAAGAACCUGAAACCGUGUACGUACAAGCAGUGGGAGCACAGGUUUACCUGUGUGACUGCGUACCUUUUGUAUAAUGGGUCAGCGACUUAUAUUCUGUAGCAAGGUUAACCGUAUAGGGGAGCCGUAGGGAAACCGAGUCUUAACCGGGCGUUAAGUUGCAGGGUAUAGACCCGAAACCCGGUGAUCUAGCCAUGGGCAGGUUGAAGGUUGGGUAACACUAACUGGAGGACCGAACCGACUAAUGUUGAAAAAUUAGCGGAUGACCUGUGGCUGGGGGUGAAAGGCCAAUCAAACCGGGAGAUAGCUGGUUCUCCCCGAAAGCUAUUUAGGUAGCGCCUCGUGAAUUCAUCUCCGGGGGUAGAGCACUGUUUCGG